CGAGCUAGAGCUUAUAUAGCAUUUUAUUUACAUUAAAGGGGUUGUUACUAAGGUAAUGUAGCUUGA
rnacentral:tRNA from 1 species